GGUUCUAUAGUGUAGUGGUUAGCACUCUGGACUUUGAAUCCAGCAACUCGAGUUCGAAUCUCGGUAGAACCU
rfam:Perkinsus marinus ATCC 50983 gcontig_1104296766830, whole genome shotgun sequence.